CCUUAAAAAUUAUAAGAUAUCCCUUCUAUAUUUCUACAUAACAAGUAUUCAUGUACUUGCAUCAAGCUUUAAUUAAAAUCAUUCUUUUGUUUUUCAAUAGUUGUAACUUUAAUGUGAGUUUUUGGAAUUGAAGUCAACAUUAAAGUUAAGAUCAAUCUUUUAGCUAUUGAAUUCUAAACUUAUCUUAAAUAUCUUUAUUCAUCAAACUCUUCUAUAUG
rnacentral:lncRNA from 1 species